AAAAAAAUACUUGAACAAGGAAAUGUAACAUUCAACAUCAAUUCAACCUCCAGCUUUCCUCGUGAGUGCCUGGUUUGUUUAACCGAAUCAAUCCGCAGGCCUUUGCCUUCUCUCGUCUCGAGCUACUCGCUCACAACCAAUCACGUUAUUCUGGUCAGUUCUUAAUUGAUUUCAGCUGCGUCUCCCCCGCCUCUCCUUAUAAAGCGCCCCCACCGUGACGGUUGUUAAUCGUUUUUUUUGCGUUGGGUUGCGUGGGUUGAACAAUCCGGACAUCGUGGCCACCGACGUGGACCCCCCGCCACCGGGACCCACGCACACCGACCACCACACUGGGAAGUGUCCUCUGCUCACUGUGGAAGCAGCAUGGAAGAACUGCAGCAACUCUGAUGGAAACUACAGGACAUCCACGCUGUUGAACACGAACUAUUUCAGGCCUACUACAAACAGAGGCGGUCCCACUCGGUUAAAGAUCUCGUGGUCAAUGCGGCCGACCGCUGGACCUGGACGUCACCUUCUGCAGAUACUUCACUGCCCUCAAGAAUCCACGGAUAACUUGAAACAUGUCCGACUCCACAUGUCCGAAAAAUCCAGGAUGGAAACUUGUGGAAGGAAGAAAGGGUUCUGUUUUUGCUAAACCCAUAACCCCACUGAGCCCUUCUGUGGAAACCUGUCUGACUGACCCUACUGACUGGGGGCCUGUUGAUGAGUGUUUGGUUGGUCUGGUAGAAGGUUUGCUGCUUGUGAUCUGCAAGGUGGUCCUGGGUUAGAUGCGGUGUCUGACUUGCACACCACUCUCCCAAUUCUAUUCUUCUCUUUACUACUUUUCUACUUUCAAUACACGUGCUGCUGCUGCUGUUGACCGCUGGUGGUGCAAUGUGGUUUUUAUUCGCGUAUGUUCUGUGGACUUUGCAUUUGUAUUUUAAUGAACAUGUUUACUGCCUGUUAGACCUCGGAUUGGCAAACCUAAACUCCUUCACUGGCAAAAUGUAGAUGCAUAUUAAAUGCCAAAAUUAACAUUUCAAUAUUCGUUUUGCGUAUUUUACCAAUAGCUUCGGAACUAGACGAACCUCAUAUAUAAAUUGCUCUUCAAAGAUGCGGUCAGGCGCCCCUCCUUUAUAUAACGUUCUCUGCCCGGUACGAAAUAGACCGACCAAUAACAACCCUUUAGGCUAUCUAAUGUGAGGUUGGAUAUACGCAACAUGUAGAGGUGUUUCAACAACAAAGAUGGAAGUUAGUGAACUAAAGACUGUAUAUGCUCACUAAAAGAACGAACGACUACUACUCUUAAAGAUUUUGAGGAAUAUGUAUUUCUGCAUCACCCGUUCCAAUGCUAUGAUUAGUCGAGGCCUAUCCAAUAGCAUAGGAUCGACCCAUUUUAGAUCGCGCCCUUUAGACACGCCUUGGAAAUUGAACAACGCACUUCAACGCAGAGGAUCCAGAAGGAUUUCACAACGAGUCCAUUGGAAGAUAUCGAGGAACAUGAACAUCACCAAUGAAGGAGAGUAACGUUUCCACUUGCUAUAGGAAUUGAAGCACUAAAUAGUUAAUAAUAAUAAUAAUAAUAUAAAAUGUGGUCACCAUUUAUUGACUUUUUGGGUAAGACUUGCUUUACUAAUAUAACCACGUUAAAACCGCAUUCAUUUACUUUUCUUGUGUAGUUUCACACUAUUCAUUAAAUGUGUUGUAGAAGUAAAAAAGUAAUCAAUAGAACUAUGCACAUUUGUACAACUAAUCAUUACACAGGAUUUGAACAUUUUCUAUAUUCGAGCUCAUGCUUCAUAAUAUUUCCAAGGAUUGCAGAGUACCAAAUUAUUUAUGAACAGUGGUUUGUUUUUGUUCAGGAGCGGAUUGUACUCCCAGAGGCUUCAACAGAGCGGGUCUGGAGCUGGGAGCUGCAGGUGGAUGGUGGCCAGGAGCCGUUCAGUCCUACAGGAACAGACGGUAGAGGUGAUGGAGGUGCUCGCCGUGAGGUCCGUGGCGGUCGUCUGGAGGUGCUCGCCGUGAGGUCCGUGGCGGUCGUCUGGAGGUGCUCGCCGUGAGGGCCGUGGCGGUCGUCUGGAGGCGCUCGCUGCAGCUGGAGGGAAGGCCGGGAGCCGUACAGCCCAAGGGAUGCAGAACGAAGGACUGAGGUGGAGGCCAGCCUGGAGGUGGAGGCCAGCCUGGAGGUGGAGGCCAGCCUGGAGGUGGAGGCCAGCCUGGAGGUGGAGGCCAGCCUGGAGGUGGAGGCCAGCCUGGAGGUGGAGGCCAGCCUGGAGGUGGAGGCCAGCCUGGAGGUCCUGGAGGCGUCCAACCUGGAAGGGGCAGCAUGGAGGGCCAGAAGGGCCUGGAGGCGGCCAACCUGGAGGUCCUGGAGUCGGUGGGCCUGGAGGCGAUGGCAGCGGCCAUCCUGGAGGCGGACUACCUGGUGGUCCUGGAGGCGGAUUGUGGAGACCAUCCUGGAGGGCCUGGAGGUGGCGCCGGCCUGGAGGACCUGGAGGGGGCGAAGGGCCUGGAGGAGGUGGCCAACCUGGAGGCAACGGCGGGCCUGGAGGCGGCCAACCUGGAGGAUUGAAGGAGUCACUGGGAUGAAGAUCCCUGCUGAGGGGCUGACGACCCCCACACCCACUCAUCUUUCCGGAGAAGCGUCCUCAUGGUGCAGGCGGUCAAACCUCCACCUCUUUGAAGAGACCAAGCAGCUUGACUGACUGACUGGUUCCUUAUACUCCGGACCUCGUCCCGGAGCAGAGGACAGACCUAAGGCCUGCAGUCCAGCGGUCUAGGGACUCCAUGUGGAACCGGUUCAAUAAUGUUGACCUCUCCUUCAGGCGACUUAAAGGGAGACCAGAUGUGCGGCAGCUGGGUGUCAUGGUGCAGAGACCCAACGCUGCACUGAACUACACCAGUGUGUCCUACUCCCCAUAAACCCUGAGGAUCCCUGGCUACACCAGCACAUUAAUCCACACCCAACAUUAACACACAGUGCACACUCUAUAGAGCUUGUAAGUCCGCCCCUUGCGGUGGGACCUCGUGAGAUCGUAAGAUAUGACUGGGUUUCAAUGGAGAGAAAGUAAUUAUUUUCUCCAUUAUGUUGCACCACAUUUUGGGGGAAGAAUGUUUGAAUCAAUCUUUGUCAUUUAUUUCUGUACUCCACAUCUGUAAUCCCAGCUGUUGUAUUUUAACACUGUAGCUGGGAACCCUCUUUAUAGGGAGCGGCUAGAGGGACGAGGCUGGAAGCAAACCUGAGCCUGGAUCUUAACCUUCUUUCUAAACCUAAUGCCGCAAUUUAACCGCAAAUAAAGUGAGGCCUAAAGUAACUUGACUCUCUUACCUAAACUUGCUUGCCUAAACUCGCUUGUCUAAACUCGCUUGCAUAAAACCUAAACUCGCUUGCAUAAAACCUGAACUUGCUUGGCUAAACUCGCGUCGCUUGCCUAAUACCUGAACUUGCUUGCCUAAACUCGCUUGCCUAAUACCUGAACCCGCUUGCCUAAACCCGCUUGCCUAAACCCGCUUGCCUAAACUCGCUUGCCUAAUACCUGAACUCACUUGCAUAAAACCUAAACUCGCUUGGCUUGACUCGCUUGCCUGUACUCGCUUGCCUAAUACCUGAAGUCGCUUGCCUAAUACCUUGAAGUCGCUUGCCUAAUACCUGAACACGCUUGCCUAAAACCUAAACUCGCUUGGCUUGACUCGCUUGCCUGUACUCGCUUGGCUAAAUACGCUUGCAUAAAACCUAAACUCGCUUGGCUUGACUCGCUUGCCUGUACUCGCUUGGCUAAACUCGCUUGCCUAAUACCUGAAGUCGCCUGCCUAAACUCGCUUGCCUAAAACCUAAACUUGCUUGUCCAAACGCGUUACACAAAGUUAACCAUCCAUAAUCUUUAACCCAAACCAGACUUGUCCCUGGGUCGCUCCACUUUAAUUUAGAAGUUUCUUCUUUUACCUCAUCUGCGUUUUGAGUUUCAUUCUUUGAGGGCUUGAAGUGCUUUGGAGGAUAUUUGAACCUUUGUUUGCCGCAUCAAUAAACAUGCUUUAUCUUUACCCAUUUUGUUUAGGAUUGCAUUUCUAUGUGUAAUCCGGCCAAAGGUUCAGUGUCCUUGCAUGUAAUGUCUAUGGUCUGACGAUAAUCUGACCUCUUCAUGAAGCAGAAUGUGUGUGAAUGUUGUCCCGUGAGCUCCAGGCUCUCUGUGGGCCUGUCAAUGUCUCUUUAGCAAAAAAUUGAAAUUCAUUUUUGUACCAUUUUCCUGUGUUCCUGAGUAUUUCAGACCUGUGGUGUUUCACAUGAGACCUUAAUGGGAACUUUUAUUUUUCUGCCUGCAUACGUAAUGCCUACAGUAGGGUGAUCACUGUUGAUCCCAAUAUUGAUCAUUAACCACCUCAUUCUUUUAUGAUUUUUUUCGAUAAGGAUUACAAAUCAUGUAAUUUAUGAGCAUAUUUGCAAAUGGCUCCAAAUAUCAGAUUGUGUAAAAACUAAUGAAAUGUAACCUGCUUGAUUUCAAGAAAAUAAAACAUCCAAAUAUUAUAAACCUGUUUUGUGCUCUCUUCAUUUGGAAAUGAAACGCAGAUAUGUUUAGCUCUGAUUUGCUGCCUCCUUUUGGUGUGGUGCUGGGAUUUGUUUAAUAUACUAUUAUCAUUUCCAGGAUAAGUUAAUAACCUAGUAUAGCCUACGCGGAAAAGAAGGGAUACGAUGGCCAGGGCAGGCUGUUUCGGUGUCCUGUCAACAUAUUGUGAGC
ensembl:lncRNA